rnacentral:tRNA from 1 species
AGGGAUUUAGCUCAGCGGCAUAAGCGCCUGCCUUGCAAGCAGGAAGUCGUGAGUUCAAUCCCCG